AGGCAAAGGAUUACUGGUGGAUGAUCAAAGGAUUUCAAACGACUCUUUAGACGUGCUGAUUAUCUCAACGUCUCUUUCACGCCUCUAUAUAAAGGAGUGAAGACUUGAAGAUAGUAGAUAGAGAUAUACAAGUUCAAAAGCGCCAAAACUCUGUCAAAUUGAUUCUACAAAGCACACAGAAUUUCUGCACUGAUUUGAUACAUCUUAGAAAUUCAAAGUCUAGAGUCUUUACUGUAUUGUAUUGAGAACACCACUGAUUGUAUAUCAAGUGUUCAAGUCAAACUCAAUUCUCUGUAUUUUUUGUUUGAUCAGAAGUCUCUUGCCUGCGUGCUUGAGCAUUAGAAGUCUCUUGCUUAGUGCUUGAGCAUUGGAAGACUCUUGCGUGUGUGCUUGAGCAUCUUUGUGAAGUCUCAUACUUAGAAAGUAUUGAGCAGUUGUAAUCGUUGUGAUUAUAGUGAAAUCUCCUUGGAAGUGCAAGGGGGACUGUACUACUUCCGUGUUGUGGAAGGAACCAGGAAAACUGCUUGUGUCUUUGUCUUUCUUUUCUCUGCUAUGUUCUUUUCCGCUGCAAAUCUUAUUCUGAUUAUUUCAUCAGAAGCACUCACAAACUGCUUCUGAAGUUUUAUCAGAAGAAGAAUUUUUAGAGAGAAAAAGAAAACACAAUUCAACCCCCCCCCCCUUGUGUUUUUCUCACCUUCAAUUGGUAUCAGAGCUUGCUCUGUUAUCAUAGCGCUUAACAGUGUUACAGAUCAAGAUCCUAUAGAAAAACAUGUCUAAAGGAGAAGAAUCAAAUACUACCACAAAAUACACAAGUGUCAAACAUGAUUAUGAUACUGCUGACAAGAAAACAGACUCUGGUAAAGCUCCUAAGUUUAAUGGAGAUCCAGAAGAGUUUUCAUGGUGGAAAACAAAUAUGUAUAGCUUUAUCAUGGGUUUGGAUGAAGAGCUAUGGGACAUAUUGGAAGAUGGAGUUGAUGACCUGGAUUUAGAUGAAGAAGGAGCUGCUAUAGACAGAAGAAUACAUACUCCUGCUCAGAAAAAGCUUUACAAGAAGCACCACAAAAUUAGAGGGAUUAUUGUGGCUUCUAUACCUCGCACCGAAUAUAUGAAGAUGAGUGACAAAUCUACUGCAAAGGCUAUGUUUGCGUCACUAUGUGCCAACUUUGAAGGCAGCAAGAAGGUGAAAGAGGCUAAAGCUUUGAUGCUUGUUCAUCAGUAUGAACUAUUCAGAAUGAAGGAUGAUGAGAGUAUUGAAGAAAUGUACUCAAGAUUUCAAACUUUGGUUUCUGGAUUGCAAAUACUGAAGAAAAGCUAUGUUGCUUCUGAUCAUGUCAGUAAGAUUUUGAGAAGCUUACCUUCAAGAUGGAGACCCAAAGUAACUGCUAUUGAGGAAGCUAAGGAUCUAAACACUUUAAGUGUUGAAGAUCUUGUUAGCUCACUCAAAGUGCAUGAAAUGAGUUUAAAUGAGCAUGAAUCCUCUAAGAAGAGUAAAUCCAUUGCUUUACCAUCUAAAGGAAAGACUUCAAAAUCUUCAAAAGCCUACAAAGCCAGUGAAUCUGAAGAAGAAUCACCUGAUGGAGAUUCUGAUGAAGAUCAGUCUAUGAAGAUGGCUAUGUUGUCCAACAAACUUGAGUAUCUGGCAAGGAAGCAAAAGAAAUUUUUGAGCAAGAGAGGUGGCUACAAGAACUCAAAGAAAGCAGAUCAGAAGGGGUGCUUCAACUGCAAGAAGCCUGGUCAUUUUAUUGCUGAUUGCCCUGAUCUUCAGAAGGAGAAAUCUAAAAGCAAAUCCAAGAAAUCAAGCUUCAGCUCCAGUAAAUUUAGAAAGCAAAUCAAAAAGAGCUUGAUGGCAACCUGGGAAGAUUUGAACAGUGAAUCUGGUUCUGAUAAAGAAGAAGCAGAUGAUGAUGCAAAGACAGCCAUGGGGUUAGUGGCAACAGUAUCAUCUGAAGCAGUUUCAGAAGCUGAAUCAGAUUCAGAAGAUGAAAAUGAGGUAUAUUCCAAAAUUCCUAGACAAGAACUUGUGGAUUCUCUAAAAGAACUUUUAUCACUGUUUGAGCACAGAACCAAUGAGUUGACAGAUUUAAUAGAAAAAUAUGUUGAUUUAAUGAAACAACAAAAGUCAACUCUAUUGGAACUAAAAGCUUCUGAAGAAGAACUAAAAGGGUUUAACCUCAUAUCAACAACAUAUGAAGAUAGACUCAAAACUCUUUGUCAGAAGCUACAAGAAAAAUGUGAUAAAGGUUCAGGCAAUAAACAUGAGAUUGCCUUGGAUGAUUUUAUUAUGGCUGGAAUAGACAGAAGCAAAGUUGCUUCUAUGAUCUACAGCACAUACAAGAACAAUGGCAAAGGGAUUGGAUACUCUGAGGAGAAAUCCAAAGAAUACAGUCUCAAGAGCUACUGUGAUUGUAUCAAGGAUGGAUUGAAAUCCACCUUUGUGCCUGAAGGUACAAAUGCUGUAACUGCUGUUCAGUCAGAACCUGAAGCUUCUGGUUCAAAGGCUAAGAUCACAUCAAAGCCAAAAAACCUCAAGUCCAAGGUUAUGACAAAAUCUGAUCCUAAGAGUCAAAAGAUUAAAAUUCUGAAAAGAUCAGAACAUGUUCAUCAGAGUCUGAUUAAACCAGAAUCUAAAAUCCCAAAGCAAAAGGAUCAGAAGAAUAAAGCAGUUACUGCUUCUGAGAAAACAAUACCAAAAGGUGACAAACCUAAAGUAUUGAAUGAUCAAAAGCCUCUCAGCAUUCACCCUAAGGUACAAGGGAGGAAAAGUAAAACCUCCAGAACUAACCCAAAAGGACCCAUGAAGAUAUGGGUACCUAAAUCUGAAUUAGCUAAAACUGCAGGUGUGCCUAAGGGCAAGAGAGAAACAAAGGUCAUGGUACCUAGACAGCGGAUGUUUAAGGCACAUGACUGGAGAGAAAGCUUUGUUCCUUACCCUUACAAUGAAAGAUGGAGGAGAAGUGAAGUUUGGUGGCAACCAAACUGGAAAAAUCAUUGGUACAUGUACUAUUGGUAACUCCUCCAUCUCAAUUAAUAAUGUGUGGCUAGUAGAUGGUCUGAAGCAUAACCUAUUGAGCAUUAGUCAAUUUUGUGACAAUGGGUAUGAUGUAAUGUUCAGUAAGACCAACUGCACACUAGUCAACAAGGAUGACAAAUCCAUUACAUUCAAGGGAAAGAGAGUUGAGAAUGUCUAUAAAAUAAAUUUCUCUGAUCUGGCUGAUCAGAAGGUAGUUUGCCUUAUGUCAAUGAAUGAUAAAAAAUGGAUAUGGCAUAAAAGGUUGGGACAUGCUAAUUGGAGAUUAAUUUCUAAAAUUAGCAAGUUACAACUUGUCAAAGGAUUGCCUAACAUUGAUUAUCAUUCAGAUGCACUCUGUGGUGCAUGUCAGAAAGGGAAGAUUGUGAAAAGUUCUUUCAAAUCUAAAGACAUUGUAUCAACCUCUAGACCCUUGGAAUUACUCCAUAUUGAUCUUUUUGGACCAGUUAACACUGCAUCCUUAUAUGGAAGUAAAUAUGGAUUAGUCAUUGUUGAUGAUUACAGCAGAUGGACUUGGGUAAAAUUCAUUAAAAGUAAAGAUUAUGCUUGUGAAGUGUUUAGCAGCUUCUGCACUCAAAUACAAUCUAAAAAAUGGGGUUGUAGAGAGAAAGAACAGAACUUUACAAGAAAUGGCCAGAACCAUGAUCCAUGAAAACAAUUUAGCUAAACAUUUCUGGGCAGAAGCAGUUAAUACUUCAUGUUAUAUUCAAAAUAGGAUCUAUAUUAGACCUAUGUUGGAGAAAACUGCAUAUGAACUCUUUAAAGGAAGAAGACCCAAUAUCUCUUACUUUCAUCAGUUUGGAUGUACUUGUUACAUUCUAAACACUAAAGACUAUCUGAAGAAAUUUGAUGCCAAGGCUCAAAGAGGAAUCUUUUUAGGUUACUCUGAAAGGUCAAAGGCAUACAGAGUGUAUAAUUCAGAAACACAUUGUGUUGAAGAAUCUAUGCAUGUUAAAUUUGAUGAUAGAGAGCCUGGAAGUAAAACUCCAGAGCAAAGUGAAAGUAAUGCAGGUACAUCUGAUUCUGAAGAUGCAUCAGAAUCUAAUCAACUUUCUGAUUCUGAAAAGAAUUCAGAAGUUGAAUCUAGUCCAGAAGCUGACAUCACUCCAGAAGCUGAGUCAAAUUCAGAAGCUGAACCUAGUCCAGAAAUACAGAAUGAAAAUGCUUCUGAGGAUAUUCAAGAUAACUCUCAGCAGGCUAUUCAACCUAAAUUCAAGCACAAAUCUUCACACCCUGAGGAGCUAAUCAUUGGAAGCAAAGAUAGUCCUAGAAGAACAAGAUCACAUUUCAGACAAGAAGAGUCAUUAAUAGGAUUGCUUUCAAUAAUUGAGCCUAAAGUUGUUGAAGAAGCUCUCUCAGAUGAUGGUUGGAUACUAGCUAUGCAAGAAGAACUAAAUCAGUUUCAGAGGAAUGAUGUGUGGGAUCUGAUACCCAAACCUUUUCAGAAGAACAUUAUUGGAACAAAAUGGGUAUUCAGAAACAAGUUGAAUGAACAAGGAGAGAUAACCAGAAACAAAGCCAGACUUGUUGCUCAAGGUUACAGUCAACAAGAGGGCAUUGAUUACACUGAAACAUUUGCUCCAGUUGCAAGAUUGGAAGCAAUCAGGUUACUUCUAUCCUAUGCAAUUAAUCAUGGCAUAAUAUUGUAUCAAAUGGAUGUCAAAAGUGCUUUUCUUAAUGGUGUCAUUGAAGAAGAAGUUUAUGUGAAACAACCUCCUGGAUUUGAGGAUCUUAAGCAUCCUGACCAUGUUUAUAAACUUAAGAAAUCACUAUAUGGCUUGAAACAAGCUCCCAGAGCUUGGUAUGAUAGACUAAGUAAUUUCUUAAUUAAAAAUGAUUUUGAAAGAGGACAAGUUGAUACAACACUCUUCAGAAAGACUCUUAAGAAAGACAUUUUGAUUGUGCAAAUAUAUGUUGAUGAUAUAAUAUUUGGUUCUACUAAUGCAUCUCUUUGCAAAGAAUUUUCUAAGUUAAUGCAGGAUGAAUUUGAAAUGAGUAUGAUGGGAGAAUUGAAGUUCUUUCUUGGAAUUCAAAUCAACCAAAGUAAAGAAGGAGUAUAUGUUCAUCAAACAAAAUAUACAAAGGAGCUUCUGAAGAAGUUUAAGCUAGAAGAUUGUAAAGUGAUGAACACUCCAAUGCAUCCAACCUGCACCUUAAGCAAAGAAGAUACUGGAACAAUAGUAGACCAGAAGCUAUACAGAGGUAUGAUUGGUUCUCUGUUAUACCUCACUGCAUCUAGACCUGAUAUUUUAUUCAGUGUAUGCUUGUGUGCAAGAUUUCAAUCAGAUCCUAGAGAAUCUCAUUUAACUGCUGUUAAGAGAAUCUUCAGGUAUUUGAUAGGAACAACUAAUCUUGGACUCCUGUAUAGGAAAUCCCUAGAUUAUAAGUUGAUUGGAUUCUGUGAUGCUGAUUAUGCUGGUGACAGGAUUGAAAGAAAAUCAACCAGUGGAAAUUGUCAAUUCCUGGGAGAGAAUCUGAUAUCCUGGGCAAGCAAAAGACAAGCAACUAUUGCUAUGUCUACUGCAGAAGCAGAAUACAUUUCAGCUGCAAGUUGUUGUACACAACUACUUUGGAUGAAACAUCAGUUGGAAGACUAUCAGAUUAAUGCUAACAGUAUUCCCAUUUUUUGUGAUAAUACUGCUGCUAUUUGUUUGUCAAAGAAUCCAAUUCUACAUUCAAGAGCCAAGCACAUUGAAAUCAAACACCAUUUUAUCAGAGACUAUGUUCAAAAAGGGAUUUUAGAUAUACAAUUCAUUGAUACUGAACAUCAAUGGGCUGAUAUAUUUACAAAACCUUUAUCUGUUGAAAGAUUUGAUUUUAUUAAGAAAAAUUUGAACAUGCACUUUGUGUCUGAUUGAAAAAUUGCUUGCCUCUGAAUAAGAAGUUUUUGGUUCUGAAGUUUAUUCAGAAGCAUCUGGUCCAUUAGAAGCUCUUAACUGAGGUUCUGAGGAAAAUGUGCUUCUGAAGAUGACGUCAGCACUAAUACUUCAGAAAAGGUAUUAUUUGCUUCUGAAUAGCAAGGCUAGUGGGAACGUUGGCAGUUACUUUUUGUGACAGCUGUCCCAUUACUCAAAGGUUAGUUUUCUAAAAAGUCUCUGACGUGGUCUAUUUGUAUUGGAGUAUAACAAAAAAAAAGGGCAAUGAUGUUUUACUUGCUUUUAAAUAUACUAUCACGCGCCCCCAAUUUGUCAUUAAUUCUAUGUUUGUUUGUCUCUACAAGAAGCAGAAGUUAAUGGGUUACUUCAGUCUUCUCAAUGGUCCGACCUAUGAAGUUCUGGUCAGACAAUUCUAGGUAAGAGCUUCUGUUUUUGACAAAUAUGCUGCUAAACAGGAAGAAGCUCAGAUGAUCCUGGUUGAUCCUACUUUGGAGGGAAAAACCAGAGAAGAAAUGGGUCUACUCGCCUUCACUGGGACUGAGAUUAGAUCAAGCGUCAUGGGGAUUCCUGUAACCAUCAAUGAGCAGGUUAUUGCUCAAGCCAUGAGAAGGGAUGCUUCUGGGACGUAGUGUGGAGAAGAAACUGCUGCUAAAGAUCCAGAAUGAGAACAUCUUUCCCAAAGGUGGAGGAAGUGAUCAACCUUCACUUGGUCACAAAGUCUUUCUGCAUCACACCAUCACUCAGGAAACAACAAUGAACGUUCCCAAGUAUAUGUUUAAAUACAUGAUCAAGGAACUUAAGAAGAGUCAGAUGGAGAACAGGAAGUACGUUCCUUAUGGAAGGCUGCUCUUUAUAAUCUUUCAAGAAGGAGGAAUCCUAAGUGCCCUGAAAGACGUGGGCAUUUAUGAUAAUCAGAAGCUGGGAGCAGUCACAGGAAAAAUAAUCAAUGGGGCAACUCUGGUAAAGAUGAGGCUGACUUCAACUUGCAAGAAACUAGAUACAAAUAUGCAUGAAUCUGAUGUCAUAUCUGAUCUAGUCACUCAUCACAUCCCUAUAUGCAAGAAAGAUCCCCUGGAUGUGCAAAGGGCUUACAUCAUGGACUUCUACAAAACCUACAAUAAGAAGAUUGAUCUGAAGGAUGUCCCUGAUGAAAUGUAUAGUGGUGCUCUGCCUGUGGCUAAAGGCAGAAAAUCCAAGAAGAAGCAUAUCACCAAGGAAGUAUACCUUGCUGAUGAUGCUACUGAGAAGGGUGCUCAGAAGCAUCAGAAAGCCAAGAAGGAAAAAUCUGCUAUGUCCACUAUUCAUGAGGAAGUGGAGGAUUUGGAUGAUGUCCCUCUUAUCAGGAAGAGGACAAGGAGUGCUCAAGAAACAGCAGAACAGCCUGCUUCUGAACAAACUGGUUCUGAACAAGCUGCUUCUGAUCAAGCUACUUCUGAAAAGCCUCUAAGUCCCAAAAAGAAAAGAGAAGCUGCUCUUCAGACCAUCAAAAGGAAGAGGUUUAAUAUAACAAGAAAUCUGAAGACAGCUGAGGGACGUAAAGAACAGAUGUUGGAAGAACUGGAAGAGAACUGGGAUGAGGACUCAAGUCCUAAGAAAGUGAAGAGGACUAUCAGCACUGAGCCUGAAGUCAUGCCCAGUUUUGAAGCAUCUGAGACUCAACUAAAAGAAGCUGAUGAGUAUGCCAGAACCAGAAUUUCAGAGAGGAAGAGGAUGAAGGAAGUUUUUGAGAAAGAAAGGGAAGAUCAGCUCAAGGCUGCAGGGUAUGAGCCUGAUCCUACAAUUGCUGCUAUGGCUUCUGAGAUGGAAACUAUUCAGCUUGGAGCAUCUUUGCUGACACAAGCUUUGAAGAAUAAGCAAGCUUCAGAAGCAUCAUCUUCAGAUCCUUCUGCAAAAGCUCCAGAAGCAUCUUCAAAAGCUAAUUCUUCAGGUACUUCAUCUCAGGUUCCCUCUUGUACUCAGACUCAAACUCUACCUACUCCACCCUCUUCACCUUCCUCAUCAUCAUCCACAGAAUCUGAUGAACCUAACCUGAACAAAGACAUAGAUAAUCUCCUUAACACUAAACCCACAAAACUAACAGAGUUAGGAACCUUUGACUUUGAGCAGACACAAAUUGAAUUUUCCAAGAACAGAAUUAAACUCUGUGAAAAAUUCAAUUUGCCCGCUUCACAUCCUUUAUAUCCAGUAGUUCCAGAAGCUGUCAGUAUACAACACCCACAACCAAACCAAGAACCUACCCAAACAAACUCACCAAAUAACCCAACUCCACAAAGAGCCUCUGAAGUAGUUUCAGAAGCAACUACUUCAGAAACCCCCCAACAACAAGAAUCCUCAACCCUUCACAACCUAGAAAAACAUCUAGGUGGUGAAAGACAACCAACACCCACAAAGGCCUCUAAGACAGUCCCUGAAAAGACUGUUUUGGAAAACCAAUAAGAAACCCAAACCAUCCCUGAACAAACUGUUCAGGAGCAAACUACUUCUGAACAAGUUGUUCCUGACCAACAAACAUCUCCUGACCAAGAGUUUGGUGCUUCUGAACAGUCUGUUCAUGAACAUCAUGACUCUGACCAAACAACAAAACAACAACAACCAGCUUCACCCACUUUCAUAGACUUAACCUCUGACCAACCCUCCUCAUCAAACACAAAUCAAACUGAACCCUCACCCAUUCCUGACAAUAUCCUUGAGACUGAGUAUAUUGAGGAACAACUGAUCAGACUUAGUGAGGAGAUUCAGACACUGAUUCUUCGCAGAACAGUUCAUGUACCUCCUAUUCACUAUUAUGAUCAGUGGAUGGAUCUGGAGAAAAGCUUUGUUGAUCUGAUGAGUCAGCUCAUAACCAAAUGUGUCUCAUCUCACUCUGCUAUGCUGAAGAAGCUGUUGGAUGAUAUGCAUGAAGCAGCCAAGGAGAAAGAGCUGAAUUUUGUGCCUCUGCUGGACAUCACUCCUUACUAUCCAGAAGAAGAGUACAUCACAAGGGCUGCAAGAAUUCAUGCUGGGCAUAAAAGGAAAAUGAGAGAAAAGGAUGAGUGUUAUACCCUGUUUUUGGACCUAAAAAUACUGGGCCCAAUUUCAUUUCAAACUUUGUCGAUUAUCAAAUUUCAACUGCACAGUUCAAAUUGUCUCUGCCUCGCAGUAUUUUCAAUCACAAUUUUACCUAUGUUUUUCUUGCAUAAAACCUUUCAAAAUGUCUUUACUUGUCUUGUGAGUCAUUCAAAAGUGUCUCUGAAUCAUUACAUUGCUUUUUCUACAGUUUAUUUCAAAAUUUGCAAAAAGUCAUACAGAAGGGUAUUUUGGUCAUUUCCUGCAGUGGGACCUAUUUUCAUCCUUGUGACUGUCUCUGAGUCUUUUCAGAUUAUUUUUAAACAUUUCAUCAGUAGACCUUGUUAAAAUUCAUUUCAAACUUGCAUCUGAGUCAGUGUCGAGUCAAUUUGAUUCUGUUUAGGUCAUUUUUAGCCCUAGGGGCAUUUUGGUCAUUUCACAUAAAAUUUUGGCAUGGGGAGGUUACUUUGAAGUACCUCAUUUAGGCCAUUGGUUCGUUUUAGUCCGUUUUGUCAAUUUUAUUUUGGUUUCACUUUACGUUUGAUCAAAUUGCGUUUUUUAUUCAAAUUUUAUUUUUUAUUGCAUUUUGGUCCCUCAAUUAAGGUCCCAAAAUUGCAUUUCAGUCCAAAAGUUUCUAAAAAUUGCAUUUCAGUCCUUUUUUAUUAUUUUUUUUUUUUUUGCAGAAAAGGUCCCAGGGGCAUUUUUGUCCAGAAUUUUCGCACAUUUUAGUCCAGUCCAGAUGUCACUUUUUUAUUGGUUCAGGUACACAUGGCAGCAUAUAAAAGGGGAACAGUGUCAGAUUUUUUCAGGGAUCCAUUCAUUACAAUACACAUCACCAAAAACAAAUUCCCAUUUUCUCUCUCUUUUCUGUUAGAUCAAAAACAGAAAUUUCUCAAGAACAAAACAGAACCCUAACCGAAAUUCAUCAUCAAAUUCUCAGAGAUUCGUGUACGAAUCUUCAUCAUCGAAUCGAUUCCACCGCAAUACAAGGUGCGAAUUCCUCACCGGAAGUGAAGAACUCAAGCACCGAUCACGGUAGGGAAAAAGAGGGAAAACCGAAUCUGCACAGAGGAAGGAGAAGAAGACAGAAUCAAAGAAACAGCAAGCAAAACGCGCACGCAAGCAAGCACACGCGCAAGCCAGCAAGCAAGCAAGCAAAACGCGCACGCAAGCAAGCACGCACGCAAGCCAGCAGGCAAGCGAGCAAGCACGCGAAGCACAAGCAGCAAGAGCCGUAACAGAAAACAAGAAGAGGUAAGCAUCCUCUUCGUUCGCAUCUCUUCCUUUUUCCACCGUUCUUUUACAAAAAUUUCAUCAAGAUUCAAACUCAGAUCUACUCCGAUUCAAGCUUUUUUCGAAAAAUCUAAGUUCGGAUUCGAGAAGUAUAUAAAAAAGGAUAUCUAAAAAUGUGAAAAUUUCUCGAAUCGGAGCAUUUUGAUUUUCCGGCACGGUGGCGCCGCCGCCAUCCGCCGCGCCGGAACGGAGGAGCUGGCCGGAGAAGAUGACCGGAAAGUUAGAGAGAAGGAGGAGCUUCUCUCUCUAAAAGAGAGAAGAAAGAGAAAGAGGAGUAACAAAUGAAAAAAACCGGACUUGAAGCAUAUAUAUAGAGCUUUGAACCGGUCCGGUUUAUUUUCGGUUUUUUCCUUUUCUUUUUCAGCCUCUAGAUCAAUCCAACGUCUCCUGUGCAAUCUGAGUUUUGUGUAUUGGGCUUUGGUUUGGGCUUAGGUUUUUUACGUUUUUUUGUUAUUUCCCUGCUAUCUGCACCAUAUGUCUUUGCUAUCAGCACCUGUUGCUUGCUCACUUUUUUACAAAAAAUUCCUAAAAAAUCCUAGUUGUUUCUUGAUAUAUUUUUGGUAUUUCUAUGGUGUUUUUGCAUAAAAAAAAUGGUAAAAUGGCAUGAAUUAAUUUCCAUGUGUGUUUACAUUUUUGGGUAUUAUUUUGGUUAUGUUUUUGUUCUUGACACUUUGAUGUGUGACAUGAACAAAUGAUACCCAAUCUUGUGAUGAAUACGCCUCUGGUCAUGUGCUUUCUUGCUGGUUUUUGGAUAUGAUUUUGUAAAUUUCUUGUUUUGCAAGCAACAAGUGUGUGUUUUAAGGAAUAAAGUGUCAAAUUCCUCUAGGAGUUUGGUGUGAUACUUUGCUUGCAUGUGUCUCUAUUAAUUCCGCAUCAUGGCUUGAAACUAAAUCUCUUUCAAAAUCGCCAUGAUGUGAUGAUUAUGGGUCACAAGCACAUUUAGGUAUCAUAUCAAAUUUUUUAUAGGUUUUUACCAUUUUAUUACUUCCUUUUUGCUAUUCUUAUACAAUCUCUUUUUAUUUAUCUCUUACUAUUUCAUGCUUUAUGAUUACUAACCAUUUCAUCUCAUGUGACAUACAUUUCAUAGCAUCCCACUAUCUCCUCCACUUUCUUUAGCUUAGCAUUUAUUCUCUUUGCAAGUUUUAACUCAUUUGGUGAUGUAAUUUGUUAUCAUUGGUUUGUAGCUUGGCAAAGGGGCCAUAGAAUGUAUUUAGGCAAUUGUUGUAAUAUGGACUAUGGACACUAUGACGCACCGACACGCACACACUCACCUUAGAUGUAUGCAUAGGAUUGUAUGGUUAAAUAAGCGUUUAGGUUUUAAAUACUUAGAGAAAAUCCAUCUUUUUCCAAAAAACAAUUGAACUUCACUUCAAUAAAUUUCAUAGUAAAUAUGAAGUCAACACUUCAUUUUUUUUCUUUUCUUUUUCUUAAGGAAAAUUCAAUUCAUCUUAACCAUUUAGACUUUCUUUCUAAUCACUAAUCAAACCUCACUUUUUUGCUAAAUCUAAUGCUCAUGAAGCCUCCCAAUCUCCUUCUUCAAAACCAUUUUCAAAACUUAAAAUCAAACAAUUAAAACAAAAACAAGUUUUUUAGCAAGAACUACGAACGGUUUUGAUCCCUUAAAAAGGGUACGUAGGCAAUGAGUCAAAACUCAUCCAAGCCGAAAUAAAAUUAAAUUCUACAACUUCUCUCCCCACAUUCUUAGCUAAAUAAACCUCCCAUUUUCAAAAGUAAGUAAAAAUAAGCGUGAAUAUAGACUUAGGAAAACGGCUCCUAUAGAGGACUAUAGUUACUCCGGGUGCCUAACACCUUCCCGUAGUAAAACCGACCCCCGAACUUAGAAUCUAAGGGUUUUUCUCAAUUUUUCCCUUCCCAAGAAAAAAGAGAGAUAUCAACGGUCGAAAGGUACAAGUCCAAUUAAUGGCUUGGCACCCAAAAACCAUGAUAACAGAAAUGGCGACUUCACUGGGGACUCAUUUUAGCGGGUCGCGCCUAGUUUUCUUUAGUUUAUAUUUACGCUUGUUUUAUUGCUUACAUAUGUGAAUAUUUGUUUACUUUCAUUCAACGUGUGGGGUGAGAAUAUCAAAAGUCCUAACCCGGGCUGAGUGAACUUAUGUUUAGGUAGAGAUAUAAUCGACAAUUCGAUCCGGGGGUUGCCUCGUGUAUUGGAUUAUGCGAUCAAUCUCACAUAGCUGAGGCAUUUUGAAGGUGAUAUUGUCGGCGUGUGUUGUCAUGCUUAGGCACUUCACUUUCAAUUGUUCGACGAAGCUAUGAACCGUAGUUACCAAACCCAUCCUAGCCUUUUUUAGGACGUAGUGCGGUGGCUAAAUUGAGUGUUGUCUCAAACUUUAGUCGUCACGCGAUACUACACUCAAACUAGACCUUCUCACAAAUAAUCAGGGAACGGGUGUCGUCCUGUACCACCAUGAUAUAUGUGAGAGAGGUUGCAGUUUGGGAACGGUGUUAGAACCUUGGUUACUACUAUCCAAAGCCUUAGUUCACCGGACGCCGUGUCCAUCCAUGGCCCUGUUACUUUGAAACUCAACCCACCUUGUUCUUUGUAACUAAACAAAACAAUCAUGCAUACAUGCAUUCAUGCAUAAACAUUUUUCAUGCAUUCAUCGAAGGGUUUAAACAAAUGAGAAUUUUUUGUAAAUAAUCACAGGUAUGAAGAAGACUAAGUGCUACAAGUUCAAGGAAGUGGAUCUGGUUGGUUUGAGAGAGUUGGCACUCAAGGUCAAGAGUCAAACAGGGUUCCGACUCCGGUAUGGGGGAUUGCUUACUUUGCUCCGAACCGAUGUGGAUGAGAAGCUAGUGCACACUCUAGUGCAAUUUUAUGAUCCGAGCUUCCGUUGCUUCACUUUCCCGGACUUCCAGUUGGUUCCUACUCUCGAGGCUUACUCCAAUCUAGUGGGUCUGCCUAUAGCCGAGAAGACACCUUUCACCGGUCCCGGGGCUCCUCUUACUCCUCUGGUUAUUGCUAAGGAUCUCCACCUCAAGACUUCCGACGUCUCCAACCAUCUUAUUACCAAGUCUCACAUCCGGGGGUUCACUUCAAAGUAUCUUCUUGAUCAGGCUAAUCUCAGUACUACUCGUCAGGAUACACUCGAGGCUAUUCUUGCUUUGCUUAUCUACGGGCUCAUUCUCUUCCCGAACCUCGACAACUUCGUGGACAUGAAUGCUAUCGAGAUCUUUCAUUCCAAGAACCCGGUUCCUACUUUGCUAGCGGAUACCUACCACGCCAUCCAUGACAGGACUCUCAAGGGCCGUGGGUAUAUUCUUUGCUGCACAUCUCUUUUGUAUAGGUGGUUUAUUUCGCACCUUCCGAGUUCCUUCCAUGAUAACUCGGAAAUUUGGUCCUACUCUCAGCGGAUUAUGGCUCUCACUCCUAAUGAGGUCGUCUGGCUCACUCCUGCCGCUCAAGUGAAGGAAAUCAUUAUGGGUUGUGGAGACUUUCUCAAUGUACCUCUUCUUGGUACUCGUGGAGGAAUCAACUACAAUCCCGAGCUUGCUAUGAGACAGUUUGGUUUCUCUAUGAAGUCGAAGCCCAUCAAUCUUGCCACAUCUCCAGAGUUCUUCUUCUACACGAAUGCUCCUACCGGACAAAGGAAAGCUUUCAUGGAUGCUUGGUCCAAGGUUCGAAGGAAAAGCGUGAGGCAUCUAGGUGUGAGAUCCGGUGUCACUCAUGAGGCCUAUACCCAGUGGGUGAUAGAUCGAGCUGAGGAGAUUGGUAUGCCUUAUCCAGCUAUGAGAUACGUGUCUUCGUCUACUCCAUCUAUGCCUCUACCUCUACUCCCCGCGACUCAGGAUAUGUAUCAGGAGCAUCUAGCUAUGGAGAGUCGUGAGAAGCAAGUGUGGAAAGCUCGGUACAAUCAAGCCGAGAAUCUAAUCAUGACUUUGGAUGGUAGAGAUGAGCAGAAGACUCAUGAGAAUCUAAUGUUGAAGAAAGAGCUAGCUAAGGCCCGGAGGGAAUUGGAAGAGAAAGACGAGCUGCUUAUGAGGGAUUCCAAGAGAGCUCGAGGACGACGAGAUUUCUUUGACAGAUACUGUGAUUCAGAUUCCGAGUCCGAUGAUCUUCCGACUACUUCCUAUGCUUGAGAGCUUUAUUUGUUUACUUUGUUGAAAAUGUUGUGUAAUUUUGAUUAUUUGCAAGAUUUCUAAUUUGUUUUAAAAUCCUUCGAUGAAAAAAAUAAGUCUUUUGCAUUCGCAUUUGCAUAUCAUGCAUCAUGUGCAUCAUACAUUGGUCACAAAGGCUUCCAAGUGCUCACUAUCUCCUGGUUCCUCUGUCGCAGUGUGAAAAGUGGCUCGUGCUCAGAGAGUUUACGAACCAGAUAGAACUGAUCGAACCAGAGAAUACAGAAGAAAGAAAAGGGCUAUGGAAGAAGAGAACGCUCAGCUUCGCACCGAGUUAGCCUCUCUAAAAGAGGAAUUGGCUAAAGCUAAUGACGUCAUGACUGCUCUACUAGCUGCUCAAGAGCAAUCAGCUACAACUAUCCCUACAACCACAGCUGCACCAGUAACUACAAGCGUGCUCCCUACCACUUCUGCAGACAAUCGCUUUACUAUGCCAGUGGGGUUUCCGUAUGGGCUUCCACCGUUCUUCACUCCCGUUGCUACAGCAAGCACCUCGGGCACUGCUAACAAUGUUCUGAUCCCUGCAACAAAUGCCGCCUCCAUCAUUGCUACUUUGCCACAAACAACAGCAGCUGUCACUGAGCCUCUGGUACACACUCUGCCUCAAGGUAUUAACAUCAACACACAGCACAGAAGCAUCCCCGUAACCAAGACUAUGGAAGAGAUGAUGGAGGAACUUGCUAAAGAACUCCGUCACGAGAUCCAGGCCAAUCGAGGGAAUACCGACUCUGUCAAAACUCAAGACCUUUGCUUAGUGUCAAAAGUGGAUGUCCCUAAAAAGUUCAAGAUUCCGGACUUCGACCGGUACAACGGGCUAACUUGCCCUCAAAAUCACAUCAUCAAAUACGUCCGGAAGAUGGGCAAUUACAAAGACAAUGAUUCCCUUAUGAUCCACUGUUUUCAGGAUAGUCUGAUGGAGGAUGCCGCAGAGUGGUAUACUAGUUUGAGUAAGAAUGACAUCCAUACCUUUGAUGAGUUAGCCACCGCUUUCAAGAGCCAUUAUGGGUUUAACACUCGACUGAGGCCAAAUAGGGAGUUUCUCAGGUCCCUAUCUCAGAAGAAGGAGGAAAGUUUCCGUGAAUAUGCGCAAAGGUGGAGAGGGGCGGCUGCCCGUAUCACUCCUGCUUUAGAUGAGGAAGAAAUGACCCAGACAUUCUUAAAGACCUUGAAGAAAGAUUAUGUUGAGAGGAUGAUCAUCGCUGCCCCGAACAACUUUUCGGAGAUGGUCACUAUGGGAACCCGUCUUGAGGAAGCCGUCAGGGAUGGAAUUAUUGUGUUUGAGAAAGCUGAAUCUUCUGCGAGUGCCUCGAAGAGGUAUGGUAAUGGACACCACAAGAAGAAAGAAACGGAAGUGGGGAUGGUGUCAGCUGGAGCCGGUCAAUCAAUGGCUACUGUUGCUCCCAUCAAUGCAGCUCAAAUGCCUCCGCCAUACCCAUAUAUGCCGUAUUCUCAGCAUCCUUUCUUCCCGCCAUUUUAUCAUCAGUACCCUCUGCCACCGGGUCAACCUCAAGUGCCCGUCAAUGCAAUUGCUCAACAGAUGAAACAACAGAUGCCGGUUCAACAACAACAACAAAAUCAGCAAGCUAGGCCUACUUUCCCUCCGAUACCGAUGUUAUAUGCUGAGUUGCUUCCAACUUUACUCCAGAGAGGGCAUUGUACAACUAGACAGGGUAAGCCCCCACCUGAUCCGUUGCCUCCAAGGUUCAGGUCUGAUCUCAAAUGCGACUUUCAUCAAGGUGCCCUAGGUCAUGAUGUCGAGGGGUGUUAUGCUUUGAAAUAUAUCGUGAAGAAGCUCAUCGAUCAAGGGAAGCUGACUUUUGAGAAUAAUGUUCCACAUGUCCUUGACAAUCCGCUACCAAAUCAUGCCGCUGUGAAUAUGAUCGAAGUGUGUGAAGAAGCUCCGAGGCUUGAUGUCCGCAAUGUCGCAACUCCUCUGGUGCCUCUGCACAUCAAGCUGUGCAAAGCUUCUCUGUUCAGUCAUGAUCAUGCCAAGUGUCUGGGAUGUCUCCGUGAUCCUUUGGGUUGUUAUACUGUUCAAGAAGACAUCCAAAGCCUGAUGAAUGAUAAUCUUCUGACUGUCAGUGAUGUUUGCGUGAUUGUGCCGGUUUUUCACGAUCCGCCUGUCAAGAGUGUAACUUUGAAGAAGAAUGCUGAGCCUUUGGUGAUAAGGUUGCCAGGACCAAUUCCUUAUGUUUCGGAUAAGGCUGUUCCAUACAAGUACAAUGCUACUAUGAUAGAAAAUGGAGUAGAGGUGCCUCUAGCCUCCUUUGCCACAGUAAGCAAUAUUGCCGAAGGGACUUCUGCAGCACUAAGAAGCGGGAAGGUUCGUCCGCCGUUAUUUCAGAAAAAGGUAGCUACACCGACCAUUCCACCAGUUGAAGAAGCAACUCCAACCGUUGUUUCACCCAUUGCUACAGAUGUGAACCAGCCUGGCAAAUCUAUAGAGGAUUCGAAUUUAGAUGAGAUUCUGAGAAUAAUAAAGAGGAGCGACUACAAGAUCGUUGAUCAGUUGCUGCAGACUCCUUCGAAGAUAUCUGUCUUGUCAUUACUCUUGAGCUCUGAGGCUCACAGGAAUACCUUGUUGAAAGUGCUGGAGCAGGCUUAUGUUGACCACGAAGUUACGGUAGAUCGUUUCGGUGGCAUAGUGGGAAACAUUACUGCUUGUAACAACCUCUGGUUCAGUGAAGAAGAGUUGCCGGAAGCGGGAAAGAGUCACAAUCUGGCUUUGCACAUCUCGGUAAAUUGUAAAUCAGACAUGAUAUCAAAUGUGUUGGUGGAUACCGGUUCCUCUCUCAAUGUAAUGCCCAAGACGACUCUAGAUCAGUUGAGCUACCGUGGGACCCCGUUGAGGAGAAGUACUUUCUUGGUCAAAGCUUUUGAUGGAUCUCGAAAGAAUGUGCUGGGAGAGAUAGACUUGCCGAUAACCAUUGGCCCUGAGAAUUUCUUGGUUACUUUCCAAGUGAUGGACAUUAAUGCAUCCUACAGUUGCCUGCUGGGAAGAUCGUGGAUACACGAUGCAGGUGCAGUUACUUCCACCUUACAUCAGAAGUUGAAAUUUGUGAAGAAUGGAAAACUCGUUACAAUCCAUGGUGAAGAAGCAUACUUAGUCAGCCAAUUGUCUUCUUUUUCUUGUAUUGAAGCAGGGUCUGCUGAAGGGACUGCUUUCCAGGGUUUGACCAUUGAAGGUGCAGAGUCUAAGGAAGCUGGGGCUGCUAUGGCUUCAUUGAAGGAUGCUCAGAGAGCCAUUCAAGAAGGUCAGACUGCCGGCUGGGGCAAGGUGAUACAGCUCUGUGAGAACAAGCGUAAAGAAGGUCUCGGGUUCUCCCCGUCAUCAAGGGUUUCCUCAGGGGUCUUCCACAGUGCUGGGUUUGUUAAUGCUAUCUCUGAAGAAGCCACUGGAUCUGGUCUCAGACCUGCAUUUGUUACACCAGGAGGCAUUACGACAAAUUGGGAUGCCAUUGACAUUCCAUCAAUCAUGCAUGUUUCUGAGUAAUGUGUCUUGUUGCUUUAAUGCUUUGUUUUCAAAAUAACAAUCCUCUCGCUCUGCCCAAAGCGAGAGUGAUAUUUUCUGUAAAGGCAUGUUUGUUUCGGCAUUGCCGUUGAUUAAUAAAAUUUUGUCGUUUCUUCCACGACUACUUUUUUUUUUAGUGCUUUUUCCCUUGGAAACAAUGGUAAUGCCAGAAAAAACCAAAACAUUUGUAUUUUCUUAUUAAUUUCAAAAAUCUGCAUGAAAAAAAAAAAACUCUUUCUAAAAUCAUCCAAUCAUUAUAUGCAGGUUGAACCAUAAUAAACCCGUUGAACACAGUAAUCCUACGGUUCCUCCAAAUUUUGAUUUCCCUGUGUAUGAAGCCGAAGAUGAGGAAGGUGAUGGCAUACCGUAUGAGAUUACUCGGUUACUUGAGCAAGAAAAGAAAGCCAUUCAGCCUCACCAGGAAGAGAUUGAGCUUGUCAACAUAGGUACCGAGGAAAACAAGCGAGAAAUCAAGAUUGGUGCUACUCUAGAGGAAGGGGUUAAACAGAAGAUCAUCCGACUCCUCCGGGAAUAUCCGGAUAUUUUUGCAUGGUCCUAUGAAGAUAUGCCAGGUCUAGACCCUAUGAUCGUGGAGCAUCGGAUCCCUACCAAGCCUGAAUGUCCUCCCGUCAGGCAGAAAUUGAGAAGGACUCAUCCUGACAUGGCCCUCAAGAUCAAGAAUGAAGUUCAAAAGCAGAUUGAUGCGGGUUUCCUCAUGACAGUUGAGUAUCCCGAAUGGGUUGCCAAUAUUGUGCCUGUGCCAAAGAAGGAUGGUAAAGUCCGGAUGUGUGUUGACUUCAGGGACUUGAACAAAGCCAGUCCAAAAGACAACUUUCCAUUACCUCAUAUUGAUGUGCUUGUUGAUAAUACUGCUCAAUCUAAGGUGUUCUCUUUCAUGGACGGUUUUUCCGGUUAUAAUCAGAUCAAAAUGUCUCCUGAAGAUAGAGAAAAGACAUCUUUUAUCACUCCAUGGGGUACCUUCUGCUACAAAGUGAUGUCGUUCGGCCUAAUCAAUGCUGGUGCUACCUACCAAAGGGGAAUGACCACUCUGUUUCAUGACAUGAUUCACAAAGAAGUCGAGGUAUAUGUGGAUGACAUGAUUGUGAAGUCAGCAGAUGAGGAGCAGCAUGUUGAAUAUUUAACAAAGAUGUUUGAAAGGUUGAGAAAAUACAAGCUGCGAUUGAAUCCCAACAAAUGUACAUUCGGCGUCAGAUCCGGCAAGUUGUUAGGCUUCGUUGUCAGCCAAAAGGGCAUUGAAGUCGAUCCUGAUAAAGUCCGGGCCAUCCGAGAAAUGCCAGCUCCACAGACAGAGAAGCAAGUCAGAGGUUUCUUGGGACGUUUGAAUUACAUCUCCCGAUUCAUAUCUCAUAUGACUGCAACCUGCGGGCCGAUCUUCAAGCUACUUAGAAAGAACCAGCCUGUUGUAUGGAAUGAUGAAUGCCAAGAAGCUUUUGAUAGCAUCAAGAAUUACCUGCUGGAACCACCUAUCCUUGUCCCUCCCGUGGAAGGAAGGCCUUUGAUUAUGUAUUUGGCAGUAUUUGACGAAUCCAUGAGAUGUGUACUUGGUCAACAAGAUGAAACCGGAAAGAAAGAGCAUGCUAUCUACUAUCUAAGCAAGAAGUUCACCGAUUGUGAAACUCGGUAUACAAUGCUUGAGAAGACUUGUUGUGCUCUAGCUUGGGCUGCUAAACGCCUGCGCCAUUAUUUGGUGAAUCAUACAACUUGGUUGAUAUCCAGAAUGGAUCCAAUAAAGUAUAUCUUUGAGAAAGCGGCCGUUACUGGGAAGAUCGCACGCUGGCAGAUGCUUUUGUCUGAAUAUGAUAUUGUGUUCAAAACUCAAAAGGCAAUCAAAGGCAGCAUUCUUGCCGAUCACCUGGCUUACCAGCCUCUCGAUGAUUAUCAACCAAUUGAAUUCGAUUUCCCUGAUGAAGAGAUCAUGUAUUUGAAAUCCAAAGACUGCGAAGAACCGUUGAUUGAUGAAGGUCCAGAUCCCAAUAGCAAGUGGGGUUUAGUCUUUGACGGUGCUGUCAAUGCUUAUGGUAAGGGAAUUGGGGCAGUCAUUGUAUCCCCGCAGGGGCAUCACAUUCCUUUUACCGCCAGAAUCUUGUUCGAAUGUACCAACAAUAUGGCUGAGUAUGAAGCAUGUAUCUUCGGGAUCGAGGAAGCAAUUGACAUGAGAAUCAAACACCUCGACAUCUAUGGAGAUUCUGCGCUCGUCAUCAAUCAGAUAAAGGGUGAAUGGGAGACCCACCAUGCUAAUUUGAUUCCUUAUCGUGAUUAUGCGAGACGUUUGCUGACAUAUUUUACAAAGGUUGAGCUGCACCAUAUUCCUCGUGAUGAGAACCAAAUGGCUGAUGCUCUUGCUACUCUAUCUUCCAUGUUUCGAGUGAACCAUUGGAAUGAUGUGCCAAUAAUCAAAGUGCAACGCCUUGAAAGACCUUCGCAUGUGUUUGCUAUUGGGGAUGUGAUCGAUCAGGCUGGUGAGAAUGUGGUUGACUAUAGACCCUGGUACUAUGACAUCAAGCAGUUCUUGCUGAGCCGUGAGUAUCCGCCAGGUGCUUCCAAACAAGACAAGAAGACCUUGAGAAGAUUGGCCAGUAGAUUCCUGUUAGAUGGAGAUAUUCUGUACAAGAGAAACUACGACAUGGUAUUGUUAAGAUGUGUUGAUGAACAUGAAGCAGAGCAGUUAAUGCAUGAUGUACAUGACGGUACCUUCGGGACCCAUGCUACAGGGCAUACUAUGUCAAGAAAGUUGCUACGGGCAGGUUACUACUGGAUGACUAUGGAGCAUGAUUGCUACCAGUACGCCAGAAAAUGUCACAAAUGUCAAAUCUAUGCUGAUAAGAUUCAUGUGCCUCCGCACGCUCUCAAUGUUAUGUCAUCCCCAUGGCCGUUCUCAAUGUGGGGCAUCGAUAUGAUCGGAAGGAUUGAACCGAAGGCUUCAAAUGGUCAUCGUUUCAUCUUAGUAGCAAUUGACUACUUCACCAAGUGGGUCGAAGCAGCAUCUUAUACCAAUGUGACCAAGCAAGUGGUAGCUAAGUUUAUCAAGAACAACCUCAUCUGUCGAUAUGGUGUUCCCAGCAAGAUUAUUACCGACAACGGUACCAACCUGAACAACAAUGUGGUGCAAGCUCUUUGUGAAGAAUUCAAAAUUGAGCAUCAUAACUCUUCUCCUUAUAGACCUCAGAUGAAUGGUGCAGUUGAGGCCGCCAACAAGAAUAUCAAGAGAAUCGUCCAGAAGAUGGUAACUACUUACAAGGACUGGCAUGAGAUGUUACCCUAUGCUCUGCAUGGCUACCGCACUACCGUGCGCAGUUCAACCGGGGCAACUCCUUUCUCUCUUGUAUAUGGUAUGGAAGCAGUUCUUCCUUUGGAAGUGGAGAUCCCAUCUCUCCGUGUGAUCAUGGAAGCAAAGUUAUCCGAGGCUGAAUGGUGCCAAAGCCGGUAUGAUCAGUUGAAUUUGAUUGAGGAAAAACGUAUGGAUGCCAUGGCUCGUGGACAGUCAUAUCAAGCAAGAAUGAAGACUGCCUUUGACAAGAAAGUCCAUCCUCGAGAAUUCAAGGUAGGGGAACUUGUAUUGAAAAGGAGGAUAGGCCAGCAACCCGACCCAAGGGGCAAGUGGACGCCUAACUAUGAAGGUCCUUAUGUUGUCAAGAAGGCCUUCUCCGGUGGUGCUUUAAUCCUUACACACAUGGAUGGUAUAGAACUUCCAAAUCCAGUGAAUGCCGAUAUAGUCAAGAAAUACUUUGCCUAGAAAUAUGAAAAGAACAGCGUGGUAGGUCGAAAACCCGAAAGGGCGGCCUAGGCAAAAAUGCGCUUCCCGGUGGAUCGAAAACCCGAAAGGGCGGUCCAGGCAAAAAUAAGGGACAAAAAAAAUAUAUAUGAAAAGCUCGCUGAGAUUGUACACAACUCAGGCAAGAAUGAGCGUCUCGAUGAGCCGAAAACCCGGAAGGGCGGUUCAUGCAAAAAUGAGAUUGAAACAAAAGGCAAGUAACUAUAUCUGACCAACCACCGUCCCCCUUGGGACAUCUGCUGCUGUUAAUGACUAUCUUCAUCUAAAGCUCCUACGCUUGCGAAUUCAAAGUUUCCAGGAAGUGUAAUGAUUGCUGUGUUCAAUGUACCACCAACCAAUAAAAUUACCAUUUUCCAAGCUUUGUGAAUCCGUGGAGUCAUGCCUUUGGCUGACCACCACUCUUAUACAUCAAUUUGAGCCUUUGCUUUUGUUUGAAAACUCUAUUUUCUUCUACUUUCAAAGUUAUAUACAAAAAUAUUUUCUUUCUAUUUUGAUAAUGACAAUGCUUGAAACAAACAUUUUGAAAAUUGAAAACUUUUUGUCUAUUUUGAAAAGCAAACCUGAGCAACAGGGUACAUUCAAAUGAAACAUGCAUGAGUGAGAGUAUGUUGAUGUCUAUUUCAAUAUGUGUUACAAGCAGGUUCUCCUCCAGGAUAGUCUGUGGUCAAUGGCAAGAAUGAAAAAACAGAAUAAAAAUGUAUGAAAAUAAAUGAGCUCGCUAAGUUGAAAACCCGAAAGGGCGGCUUAGGCAAAAAUGAGCACCCCGCUGGAUUGACAACCCGAAAGGGCAGUUCAGGCAAAAAUGGGGCAUUGAAAAGAAUUUAUUUCCCCGGUGGACCGAAAACCCGAAAGGGCGAUCCAGGCAAAAAUGGGAUGCAAAAAAUGAUGAAUGAAAUUAAGAAUAUAACAUGCAAAAAGCAUUGACCACAGAUGCAAUGUCUACAACAUACCCAGCACUGAAAUGCCCAGCACAACGGCGUUUUCCCCAGUAAGUCUUCCAAGAUUCUAUCCCCAGCAAGUUGCAUACCUACCUGCCCUCAGCCAUGGUUCCGAAACGUCUCCCAACGACGUCAUCUCCAAAGAGGAUUUCCAAGAAUGUGUAAUAUAGCACGAGCCACUACGUGCCCAAUACUCUGAUGUCUUGUCUUCCCCGUGAAGUCGUGCCUACAAAAUGCCAACAGUCAUGCAUUACAAGCAUUCAUACAUGCAUAAUCAUGCAUAUUACGUGCCCAUGCAUUUAAUGAAAUUGUUAUAUCAUCCAUGCAUAUUGCAUUUCCAAUGUCAACAUCAGUCUCAAUUCAAUACUCGUGUCAGGUUCUCUGUCAAAACCUUGUAAGCCAAUAACAUCAGUCUCAAUUUCUACCUUUCAAAUCAAAUCGACGUCAAAUCUCAAUCUAUAUUUUGUCAAACAAACUAAUCCCCAGUGAAUAUGUUUCUGUUUGGCCAAGUGGCUAGUUCAAGUCCAAGAACAGCUUGUACCUAUCAAUUUGCUUAUGUUAUCGGUCGAGUGCCCAGCUCAAUCCAAGAGCAGCUUGUACCUGUCAAUAUGUUUCCGUUUGGUCAAGUGGCUAGCUCAAUCCAAGAGCAGCUUGUACCUGUCUAUCUGUUUCUGUCCGGUGGAGUAACCAGUUCGAAUCCUUAAGAACAGCUCGUACUUGCCAAUUUUCCCUUUUUCCAGUCGAGUCACCAGUUCGAAUCCGUAAGAACAACUCGUGCUUGCCAAUUUUCCCUUUUUCCAGUCGGGUUACCAGUUCGAAUCCAUAAGAACAACUCGCACUUUCCAAUAUCUCCCAAGUGAGUUACCAGUUCGAAUCCAUAAGAACAACUCAUGUUUGUCCAGUAACCUCUAUCCCCUGUGAAGUGACCAGUUCGAAUCCAUAAGAACAACUCGCAGUUGUCUGUUUGUUUCAUCCCCGGUCAAGUGGCUAGUUUGAAUCCAAGAACAGCUUGUACCUGUCCAACUUGUUUCUAGUUUCCCGUUACUCUGCUAUUCGCUAUCUUUGUCAAUGUCUACCAAUCCCGCAAUGGAUACGACAUAUUUUGUUAAUUCCAAUCCCCAUGAGGUCUUGCAUUCAUAAUCCAAAUGAUGCAUGGCAUGCAUAUUAUUUGAAAAUGGGUAGGCGUAUUUUUACGUCCAAACACAGUGUAAAUGCUAAUAUUUAAGUAUCUUCGUCCUGUCAAGCCAAAGACUCCGUCUCUUGAUUCUCCAGACAAAGAAACUUAAAUAGGGGCAGCUGUUAUACCCUGUUUUUGGACCUAAAAAUACUGGGCCCAAUUUCAUUUCAAACUUUGUCGAUUAUCAAAUUUCAACUGCACAGUUCAAAUUGUCUCUGCCUCGCAGUAUUUUCAAUCACAAUUUUACCUAUGUUUUUCUUGCAUAAAACCUUUCAAAAUGUCUUUACUUGUCUUGUGAGUCAUUCAAAAGUGUCUCUGAAUCAUUACAUUGCUUUUUCUACAGUUUAUUUCAAAAUUUGCAAAAAGUCAUACAGAAGGGUAUUUUGGUCAUUUCCUGCAGUGGGACCUAUUUUCAUCCUUGUGACUGUCUCUGAGUCUUUUCAGAUUAUUUUUAAACAUUUCAUCAGUAGACCUUGUUAAAAUUCAUUUCAAACUUGCAUCUGAGUCAGUGUCGAGUCAAUUUGAUUCUGUUUAGGUCAUUUUUAGCCCUAGGGGCAUUUUGGUCAUUUCACAUAAAAUUUUGGCAUGGGGAGGUUACUUUGAAGUACCUCAUUUAGGCCAUUGGUUCGUUUUAGUCCGUUUUGUCAAUUUUAUUUUGGUUUCACUUUACGUUUGAUCAAAUUGCGUUUUUUAUUCAAAUUUUAUUUUUUAUUGCAUUUUGGUCCCUCAAUUAAGGUCCCAAAAUUGCAUUUCAGUCCAAAAGUUUCUAAAAAUUGCAUUUCAGUCCUUUUUUAUUAUUUUUUUUUUUUUUGCAGAAAAGGUCCCAGGGGCAUUUUUGUCCAGAAUUUUCGCACAUUUUAGUCCAGUCCAGAUGUCACUUUUUUAUUGGUUCAGGUACACAUGGCAGCAUAUAAAAGGGGAACAGUGUCAGAUUUUUUCAGGGAUCCAUUCAUUACAAUACACAUCACCAAAAACAAAUUCCCAUUUUCUCUCUCUUUUCUGUUAGAUCAAAAACAGAAAUUUCUCAAGAACAAAACAGAACCCUAACCGAAAUUCAUCAUCAAAUUCUCAGAGAUUCGUGUACGAAUCUUCAUCAUCGAAUCGAUUCCACCGCAAUACAAGGUGCGAAUUCCUCACCGGAAGUGAAGAACUCAAGCACCGAUCACGGUAGGGAAAAAGAGGGAAAACCGAAUCUGCACAGAGGAAGGAGAAGAAGACAGAAUCAAAGAAACAGCAAGCAAAACGCGCACGCAAGCAAGCACACGCGCAAGCCAGCAAGCAAGCAAGCAAAACGCGCACGCAAGCAAGCACGCACGCAAGCCAGCAGGCAAGCGAGCAAGCACGCGAAGCACAAGCAGCAAGAGCCGUAACAGAAAACAAGAAGAGGUAAGCAUCCUCUUCGUUCGCAUCUCUUCCUUUUUCCACCGUUCUUUUACAAAAAUUUCAUCAAGAUUCAAACUCAGAUCUACUCCGAUUCAAGCUUUUUUCGAAAAAUCUAAGUUCGGAUUCGAGAAGUAUAUAAAAAAGGAUAUCUAAAAAUGUGAAAAUUUCUCGAAUCGGAGCAUUUUGAUUUUCCGGCACGGUGGCGCCGCCGCCAUCCGCCGCGCCGGAACGGAGGAGCUGGCCGGAGAAGAUGACCGGAAAGUUAGAGAGAAGGAGGAGCUUCUCUCUCUAAAAGAGAGAAGAAAGAGAAAGAGGAGUAACAAAUGAAAAAAACCGGACUUGAAGCAUAUAUAUAGAGCUUUGAACCGGUCCGGUUUAUUUUCGGUUUUUUCCUUUUCUUUUUCAGCCUCUAGAUCAAUCCAACGUCUCCUGUGCAAUCUGAGUUUUGUGUAUUGGGCUUUGGUUUGGGCUUAGGUUUUUUACGUUUUUUUGUUAUUUCCCUGCUAUCUGCACCAUAUGUCUUUGCUAUCAGCACCUGUUGCUUGCUCACUUUUUUACAAAAAAUUCCUAAAAAAUCCUAGUUGUUUCUUGAUAUAUUUUUGGUAUUUCUAUGGUGUUUUUGCAUAAAAAAAAUGGUAAAAUGGCAUGAAUUAAUUUCCAUGUGUGUUUACAUUUUUGGGUAUUAUUUUGGUUAUGUUUUUGUUCUUGACACUUUGAUGUGUGACAUGAACAAAUGAUACCCAAUCUUGUGAUGAAUACGCCUCUGGUCAUGUGCUUUCUUGCUGGUUUUUGGAUAUGAUUUUGUAAAUUUCUUGUUUUGCAAGCAACAAGUGUGUGUUUUAAGGAAUAAAGUGUCAAAUUCCUCUAGGAGUUUGGUGUGAUACUUUGCUUGCAUGUGUCUCUAUUAAUUCCACAUCAUGGCUUGAAACUAAAUCUCUUUCAAAAUCGCCAUGAUGUGAUGAUUAUGGGUCACAAGCACAUUUAGGUAUCAUAUCAAAUUUUUUAUAGGUUUUUACCAUUUUAUUACUUCCUUUUUGCUAUUCUUAUACAAUCUCUUUUUAUUUAUCUCUUACUAUUUCAUGCUUUAUGAUUACUAACCAUUUCAUCUCAUGUGACAUACAUUUCAUAGCAUCCCACUAUCUCCUCCACUUUCUUUAGCUUAGCAUUUAUUCUCUUUGCAAGUUUUAACUCAUUUGGUGAUGUAAUUUGUUAUCAUUGGUUUGUAGCUUGGCAAAGGGGCCAUAGAAUGUAUUUAGGCAAUUGUUGUAAUAUGGACUAUGGACACUAUGACGCACCGACACGCACACACUCACCUUAGAUGUAUGCAUAGGAUUGUAUGGUUAAAUAAGCGUUUAGGUUUUAAAUACUUAGAGAAAAUCCAUCUUUUUCCAAAAAACAAUUGAACUUCACUUCAAAAAAUUUCAUAGUAAAUAUGAAGUCAACACUUCAUUUUUUUUCUUUUCUUUUUCUUAAGGAAAAUUCAAUUCAUCUUAACCAUUUAGACUUUCUUUCUAAUCACUAAUCAAACCUCACUUUUUUGCUAAAUCUAAUGCUCAUGAAGCCUCCCAAUCUCCUUCUUCAAAACCAUUUUCAAAACUUAAAAUCAAACAAUUAAAACAAAAACAAGUUUUUUAGCAAGAACUACGAACGGUUUUGAUCCCUUAAAAAGGGUACGUAGGCAAUGAGUCAAAACUCAUCCAAGCCGAAAUAAAAUUAAAUUCUACAACUUCUCUCCCCACAUUCUUAGCUAAAUAAACCUCCCAUUUUCAAAAGUAAGUAAAAAUAAGCGUGAAUAUAGACUUAGGAAAACGGCUCCUAUAGAGGACUAUAGUUACUCCGGGUGCCUAACACCUUCCCGUAGUAAAACCGACCCCCGAACUUAGAAUCUAAGGGUUUUUCUCAAUUUUUCCCUUCCCAAGAAAAAAGAGAGAUAUCAACGGUCGAAAGGUACAAGUCCAAUUAAUGGCUUGGCACCCAAAAACCAUGAUAACAAUGAGCUACUUCAGAAGAAAGAUGAUCAAAUCAAGUAUCUCUUAGAAUAGUUGUAUAAGCAAGCCCAACCUUAGUUGCACACCCAACUCUAGCUUGUUUUUACUUUUGUUCUCUGUAGCUUUGCCUUUGUAUUAUACUUUCUUUAUAAAUAUCAUCAUUGUUUAUAAAUCAUAUGUUCUAUACUUUUAAUUCUGAUAAUAUUUACUGUUUUUAAUAUUGUCUGCUUCUGAUAUUGUUUAUGUUUUUAAGGUUUAUAUGUUUAUAUGCUCUGCUACUCUUUCUUUUGUUUUUAUUCUUUUUGUUGAUGACAAAAGGGAGAGUAAAUGUAUAGUAUUUUUUAAUGCACUGAGCCCCACUAUAACCACUUCAAAACCUUUUAAAUACUUCUGAUUUUAUUAAAUUUUUAUAAGUUUUUUAUUGAAAUUUAAUUAAUAAGAAUAGAACUCAGGGGGAGCUUACAAACCUCACCUUAAAGAUCUAUUAGACUCAGGGGGAGCUUACAAACCUCUAUCCCAGUGGUCAACUUAUUAAUUAGAUCAACAACAAUUGAACAUUUUAAAUACUAGUGUUUGUCAUCAUCAAAAAGGGGGAGAUUGUUGGAACAAAAUGUGUUUCACAAUGAACCUUAUUUAGUUUUGAUGAUAACAAGGUAUUAAAAAUUAUCAAUUGGUUAUUACUAAUGAUUAUUCAAGUGUACAGGACCAAAAGCUUGUCAAGCAAUUUCAAUAGGUCUUGGAAGAACAAUGAAAAGCAAAAGAAUUCCAAGCAUCUGAAGAAAACUGCUCCUGAAGCUGAAGUGCCUCUGAAGAGAUGACGUCAUCAGAAGCAGAAGAUCAUCAGAAGCAAAAUAUCUUCACCAGAAGCUACAUUUGAUCCCUUAAUCAAACUGAAGAUUCAAAGUAGCUGUCUCUCAAUUCAGUCUUAUCCAAGAAGAACGAAGAAUUGAAAGGGAGGUAUCAACGGUCAUAUGGAUAUCACUGAGCACUUGUCUCCUAUUAACAGAGUUGACAUAGUACAAGUGUACAACCACUACCUCCACUACUCUGCUUUUGUCUACGCUACAAGACAAGACAACAGCCUUGCCUGCAGAUUUUGCGCCUUCAAGAUGGGAAUGAAUUUGAAGAUUAUUCUUCAAAGGACUACACCCAAAUCAGGCAAAGGAUUACUGGUGGAUGAUCAAAGGAUUUCAAACGACUCUUUCGACGUGCUGAUUAUCUCAACGUCUCUUUCACGCCUCUAUAUAAAGGAUUGAAGACUUGAAGAUAGUAGAUAGAGAUAUACAAGUUCAAAAGCGCCAAAACUCUGUCAAAUUGAUUCUACAAAGCACACAGAAUUUCUGCACUGAUUUGAUACAUCUUAGAAAUUCAAAGUCUAGAGUCUUUACUGUAUUGUAUUGAGAACACCACUGAUUGUAUAUCAAGUGUUCAAGUCAAACUCAAUUCUCUGUA
rnacentral:lncRNA from 1 species